rnacentral:tRNA from 1 species
GAGGGUAUAGCUCAAGUGGUAGACCAUGUGCUUAGCAUGCAUGAGGUCCUGGGUUCAAUCCCCAGGACCUCCU